rnacentral:lncRNA from 1 species
ACUUCUGGAACUCCCCUAUGGCAUAUGGUCUUGACUUUGAGUAAAUAUUUAUCUCUUUUUCAGGGUGAACUGUAUCUUUGGAAAUACCCCAAAGCCAUGUGGAUUCAAGUUGGAGGAAUCAGCAUGACAUUGGCCUGGCCUGCCUCCCAGGCAUCCUCUGGAACCCGGGGUACCAUGGAAGCCUGAGGGGGUUUUGCUGAUGGAGGAUCAGUUCAGGACUUCCUCCCCCCUGAAGCCUGAAGCAAAUACUCCCACCCAGACUGAGAGCAUCACCCGGUUAUCAGUGAACUGAGUGCUGUUAACACCCACGAUAUCCCCUCCGUGCCUGGAAACGUGUGGAGGUUAUUAGUCGGUGCUUAAUAGAUAUUGACUGA